UACGAAGGGUGCAAGCGUUACUCGGAAUUACUGGGCGUAAAGCGUGCGUAGGUGGUUCGUUAAGUCUGUCGUGAAAUCCCCGGGCUUAACCUGGGAACUGCGCUUGUGACUGCAAGACUCGAGUACGGCAGAGGGGGGUAGAAUUCCACGUGUAGCAGUGAAAUGCGUAGAGAUGUGGAGGAAUACCGAUGGCGAAGGCAGCCCCCUGGGUCGAUACUGACGCUCAUGCACGAAAGCGUGGGGAGCAAACAGG
rnacentral:rRNA from 1 species